AUGUCCACCACCACCGCGGCCAUGAUUCCAAGCACCAUGGGUGCGCUCGCCACCACCUCAUCCUCCACCUUCGCAUCAUCUUCCACCUCCACCCACAGCACCACCUCCCUCAGAUCGCCACCACAGGAGAAGCUUACGCGGGGCAACUUCCUGCUUUUGAAGGCCAUUGUGCUCCCGCGGAUCAGAGGUGCCCAGAUGGAGCAUCACCUCGACGCGACGAGCCCGCCCCCGCCAGCCACCCUCACCAUCACCAAGGAAGGCAAAGAGGAACAAGUCGUCAACUUUGCGAGAUCCCUCUGGUAUGCACAGCAGCAACAACUCCAAGGAUACUUAAUGGGUUCACUUUCCCGUGAGAUUCCUGCCCAGGUCGCCACGCUCCAGACGCCGGCCGAGGUGUGGAACACUAUCCACGCCAUGUUCGCUGCUCAGAGCCAAGCUCAAGCGAUAAACACUCGCAUCGAGCUCACCAACCUCAAGAAAGGUAAUAUGUCCAUGGCUGAUUAUCUUGGUAAGAUCAAAAGUCUCACUGAUGAGGUCGCAAGCACGGCUUCGGCCUUAUCUGAUCCAGAGAUUGUCUCCAAAAUUCUUGCCGGCUUGGAUAUGGAGUACAACCCGGUGGUCUCUGCACUCGCCGCCAGGGUGGAACCCAUCACCGUCCAAGACCUAUACAGCCAGCUGCUCAGUUUUGAUGCCCGCCUCACCCUCCUCCACGGCGGCGAUCUUCGGCAGUCCUCCGUCAACUCCGUCUCUCGUGGCCGCGGCCGUGGGCGCGGUCACCAGGGGCAGCGCGGCGGCGGACGCGGACGCGGCACCUCUUCAGGAGAAGGCGCACGCUCCAGUGGGGGCUCUGGCUCCCAUGGCGGGGGCGGCUACAACAACAGCGGCGGCUUCAACAACAACAAUGGCCGCCGCCCUUCUUCACGUCCGCGCCCCCGAUGCCAGCUCUGCAAAAAGUCUGGUCAUGAGGUGAUUGACUGCUGGCAUCGCUACGAUGAGGAUUUUGUGCCCUCGGAUCGCCAUGUUGCGGCUGCCAUGCGUGAGCAGGGUGGUGAUGGUGUCUGGUACGUGGACUCUGGCGCUACGGGUCAUGUGACAAACGAGCUCGAGCAACUUGCCCUUCGUGAGCACUACCAUGGCGCCGAUCAGAUUCACACCGCCAGUGGCGGAGGAUCGGGCAACGAGGGAACUACUUCAUCACGGUAG
rnacentral:rRNA from 1 species